CAGGGGUCCCCAAACUUGGCAACUUUAAGACUUGUGGACUUUAAUUCCCAGAAUUCUGGGAGUUGAAGUCCACAAAUCUUAAAGUUGCCGAAUUUUGAGACCUCUGAUAUAAGAAGAUAGUAGUAUCAGUUAUUCUCACACCUG